AUCCAGCUAACGAGCCCCAACUAGGACGAAACGCGCGUCAAACUGGAU
rnacentral:hammerhead_ribozyme from 1 species